AGCCUUCCUGCCUCAAUGAAGAUGCCAUGAGAGCUGCUGAUCAGUUUGACAUAUAUUCCUCCCAGCAAAGCAAAUACAGCCACACAGUCAACCACAAACCAAUGGUUUGUCAGAGGCAAGACCCAUUAAAUGAAACACACUUGCAGACUACAAGUGGCAGAAGCAUAGAAAUAAAAGAUGAACUAAAGAAAAAGAAGAAUCUCAACCGAUCUGGAAAAAAGCAGCAAGCCUUCAGGUGUUCCAGUGAUGCCUGACACAAUUGAGCUGGA
rnacentral:lncRNA from 1 species